rnacentral:rRNA from 1 species
ACCUCCCAGGAGUUUGAUCAUGGCUCAGGCGAACGCUGGCGGCGUGCCUAAUACAUGCAAGUCGAAGCGGGACGACGGGAGGCUUGCUUCCUUAGGUCAGCGGCGGACGGGUGAGUAACACGUGGGUAACCUGCCUGUAAGACUGGGAUAACUCCGGGAAACCGGGGCUAAUACCGGAUGCUUGAUUGAACCGCAUGGUUCAAUCAUAAAAGGUGGCUUUCAGCUACCACUUGCAGAUGGACCCGCGGCGCAUUAGCUAGUUGGUGAGGUAACGGCUCACCAAGGCGACGAUGCGUAGCCGACCUGAGAGGGUGAUCGGCCACACUGGGACUGAGACACGGCCCAGACUCCUACGGGAGGCAGCAGUAGGGAAUCUUCCGCAAUGGACGAAAGUCUGACGGAGCAACGCCGCGUGAGUGAUGAAGGUUUUCGGAUCGUAAAACUCUGUUGUUAGGGAAGAACAAGUACCGUUCGAAUAGGGCGGUACCUUGACGGUACCUAACCAGAAAGCCACGGCUAACUACGUGCCAGCAGCCGCGGUAAUACGUAGGUGGCAAGCGUUGUCCGGAAUUAUUGGGCGUAAAGCGCGCGCAGGCGGUUUCUUAAGUCUGAUGUGAAAGCCCCCGGCUCAACCGGGGAGGGUCAUUGGAAACUGGGGAACUUGAGUGCAGAAGAGGAGAGUGGAAUUCCACGUGUAGCGGUGAAAUGCGUAGAGAUGUGGAGGAACACCAGUGGCGAAGGCGACUCUCUGGUCUGUAACUGACGCUGAGGCGCGAAAGCGUGGGGAGCGAACAGGAUUAGAUACCCUGGUAGUCCACGCCGUAAACGAUGAGUGCUAAGUGUUAGAGGGUUUCCGCCCUUUAGUGCUGCAGCAAACGCAUUAAGCACUCCGCCUGGGGAGUACGGUCGCAAGACUGAAACUCAAAGGAAUUGACGGGGGCCCGCACAAGCGGUGGAGCAUGUGGUUUAAUUCGAAGCAACGCGAAGAACCUUACCAGGUCUUGACAUCCUCUGACAACCCUAGAGAUAGGGCUUCCCCUUCGGGGGCAGAGUGACAGGUGGUGCAUGGUUGUCGUCAGCUCGUGUCGUGAGAUGUUGGGUUAAGUCCCGCAACGAGCGCAACCCUUGAUCUUAGUUGCCAGCAUUCAGUUGGGCACUCUAAGGUGA